GUGUCAGCAGCCGCGGUAAUACGUAGGGUGCGAGCGUUAAUCGGAAUUACUGGGCGUAAAGCGUGCGCAGGCGGUUUUGUAAGCCAGUCGUGAAAUCCCCGGGCUUAACCUGGGAAUGGCGAUUGGGACUGCAAGGCUCGAGUAUGGCAGAGGGGACUGGAAUUCCUGGUGUAGCAGUGAAAUGCGUAGAUAUCAGGAGGAAUACCGAUGGCGAAGGCAGGUCCCUGGGCUGAUACUGACGCUCAUGCACGAAAGCGUGGGGAGCAAACAGGAUUAGAAACCCCCGUAGUCC
rnacentral:rRNA from 1 species